rnacentral:rRNA from 1 species
GAUGAACGCUGGCGGCGUGCUUAACACAUGCAAGUCGAACGAAGCACUUUUACAGAUUUCUUCGGAUUGAAGUGAUAGUGACUGAGUGGCGGACGGGUGAGUAACGCGUGGGUAACCUGCCUCACACAGGGGGGAUAACAGUUGGAAACGGCUGCUAAUACCGCAUAAGCGCACAGUACCGCAUGGUACGGUGUGAAAAACUCCGGUGGUGUGAGAUGGACCCGCGUCUGAUUAGCUAGUUGGCAGGGCAACGGCCUACCAAGGCGACGAUCAGUAGCCGACCUGAGAGGGUGACCGGCCACAUUGGGACUGAGACACGGGCCCAAAACUCCUACGGGAGGCAGCAGUUGGGGAAUAUUGGCACAAUGGGGGAAACCCUGAUGCAGCGACGCCGCGUGAGCGAAGAAGUAUUCGGUAUGUAAAGCUCUAUCAGCA